rnacentral:lncRNA from 1 species
UUCGACUGGAAUGGAGAAAUAUUAGGUCACUGAGACAGUCAAUAAGAUAAGUGUGGAAGAAAACAUAAAAGGUAAUGAUGGAUGGAGUCCACAGUUUAACACUAACCAAUGUACCUUCGACUGGAAUGGAGAAAUAUUAGGUCACUGAGACAGUCAAUAAGAUAAGUGAGGAAGAAAACAUAGAAGGUAAUGAUGGAUAGAGUCAACAGUUUAACACUAACCAAUUUCGAAGGUUAGUGAAGGGAGGAGAAAGGGAAGGUGGUUUGGCUGGGGAAAGAGGAAGCGGUGGCAGCGAUGGCUCGGCUGAGGAAGAAGGAAUGAUGCAGCAACUUUGG